GGAUCGAUAGCUCAGUGGUAGAGCGAGAGAUUGCAGUUGACCCACAAAUAUCUCUAGGUCACGUGUUCGAACCACGUUCGGUCCU
rnacentral:tRNA from 1 species